rnacentral:rRNA from 1 species
UACGGGGGGGGCAAGCGUUGUUCGGAAUUACUGGGCGUAAGGGGCUCGUAGGUGGCCCCAUAAGUCAGACGUGAAAUCCCUCGGCUCAACCGAGGAACUGCGUCUGAGACUGUGGGGCUUGAAUCCGGGAGAGGGAUGCGGAAUUCCAGGUGUAGCGGUGAAAUGCGUAGAUAUCUGGAGGAACACCGGUGGCGAAGGCGGCAUCCUGGACCGGUAUUGACACUGAUGAGCGAAAGCCAGGGGAGCAAACGGG